UACAGAGGUCCCAAGCGUUGUUCGGAUUUAUUGGGCGUAAAGGGUGCGUAGGCGGCGGAGUAAGUUGGGUGUGAAAUCCCGGGGCUCAACCUCGGAAUUGCAUUCAAUACUGCUUCGCUCGAGUACUGGAGAGGAGACUGGAAUUUACGGUGUAGCAGUGAAAUGCGUAGAUAUCGUAAGGAAGACCAGUGGCGAAGGCGAGUCUCUGGACAGCAACUGACGCUGAGGCACGAAGGCCAGGGGAGCAAACGGG
rnacentral:rRNA from 1 species